AUACGGAGGGUGCAAGCGUUAAUCGGAAUUACUGGGCGUAAAGGGCGCGUAGGCGGUCUAUCAAGUCAGGUGUGAAAUCCCACGGCUCAACCGUGGAGGUGCAUCUGAAACUGAUAGACUUGAGUAUGUGAGAGGAAAGUGGAAUUCCCGGUGUAGAGGUGAAAUUCGUAGAUAUCGGGAGGAACACCAGUGGCGAAGGCGACUUUCUGGACCAAUACUGACGCUGAGGCGCGAAAGCGUGGGGAGCAAACAGAAUUAGAAACCCUAGUAGUCC
rnacentral:rRNA from 1 species